AUGAACGCUAGCGACAGGCUUAACACAUGCAAGUCGAGGGGCAGCGGGGGUAGCGAUACCCGCCGGCGACCGGCGCACGGGUGAGUAACGCGUAUGCAACUUGCCUAUCAGAGGGGGAUAACCCGGCGAAAGUCGGACUAAUACCGCAUGAAGCAGGGGCCCCGCAUGGGGAUAUUUGCUAAAGAUUCAUCGCUGAUAGAUAGGCAUGCGUUCCAUUAGGCAGUUGGCGGGGUAACGGCCCACCAAACCGACGAUGGAUAGGGGUUCUGAGAGGAAGGUCCCCCACAUUGGUACUGAGACACGGACCAAACUCCUACGGGAGGCAGCAGUGAGGAAUAUUGGUCAAUGGCCGAGAGGCUGAACCAGCCAAGUCGCGUGAGGGAUGAAGGUUCUAUGGAUCGUAAACCUCUUUUAUAAGGGAAUAAAGUGCGGGACGUGUCCCGUUUUGUAUGUACCUUAUGAAUAAGGAUCGGCUAACUCCGUGCCAGCAGCCGCGGUAAUACGGAGGAUCCGAGCGUUAUCCGGAUUUAUUGGGUUUAAAGGGUGCGUAGGCGGCCUUUUAAGUCAGCGGUGAAAGUCUGUGGCUCAACCAUAGAAUUGCCGUUGAAACUGGGGGGCUUGAGUAUGUUUGAGGCAGGCGGAAUGCGUGGUGUAGCGGUGAAAUGCAUAGAUAUCACGCAGAACCCCGAUUGCGAAGGCAGCCUGCCAAGCCAUUACUGACGCUGAUGCACGAAAGCGUGGGGAUCAAACAGGAUUAGAUACCCUGGUAGUCCACGCAGUAAACGAUGAUCACUAGCUGUUUGCGAUACAGUGUAAGCGGCACAGCGAAAGCGUUAAGUGAUCCACCUGGGGGGUACGCCGGCAACGGUGAAACUCAAAGGAAUUGACGGGGGCCCGCACAAGCGGAGGAACAUGUGGUUUAAUUCGAUGAUACGCGAGGAACCUUACCCGGGUUUGAACGCAUUCGGACCGAGGUGGAAACACCUUUUCUAGCAAUAGCCGUUUGCGAGGUGCUGCAUGGUUGUCGUCAGCUCGUGCCGUGAGGUGUCGGCUUAAGUGCCAUAACGAGCGCAACCCUUGCCACUAGUUACUAACAGGUAAAGCUGAGGACUCUGGUGGGACUGCCAGCGUAAGCUGCGAGGAAGGCGGGGAUGACGUCAAAUCAGCACGGCCCUUACAUCCGGGGCGACACACGUGUUACAAUGGCGUGGACAAAGGGAAGCCACCUGGCGACAGGGAGCGAAUCCCCAAACCACGUCUCAGUUCGGAUCGGAGUCUGCAACCCGACUCCGUGAAGCUGGAUUCGCUAGUAAUCGCGCAUCAGCCAUGGCGCGGUGAAUACGUUCCCGGGCCUUGUACACACCGCCCGUCAAGCCAUGGGAGCCGGGGGUACCUGAAGUCCGUAACCGAAAGGAUCGGCCUAGGGUAAAACUGGUGACUGGGGCU
rnacentral:rRNA from 1 species